rnacentral:rRNA from 1 species
AUGGAUGAGUAUUUCGCACGGGACAAGGCGUAUUUUCCUAUGCACGUUAACGAGAAUCAUUGGAUAACCAUAGUGAUGCACACCGUCAAGGAGGAGUUUCAAGUUCUUGACUCAAAUUCUAAUGGCGCAAUUAGCCGAAGAAUUUGCAAUAUGAUUGCCACACUGGUCAACUCAACUCUUCAAGCAAAAAAAUAUCCAGAUGUCAUAUCGUGGCCAAUAAAUGAGUACGAAAUGCAGAGACAAAAAGAUGCAGUGUCUUGUGGACUUUUUGUGAUGUGGUGCAUAAAACACUGGGACGGAGAUCGCUGGACAUAUAAAUUUGACCAGGAAGAGAUUAAUGCGUCAAGGCCACGUAUUGUCGCGGAAAUUAUUUUUUCGGAGGUGAACACAUUAGAAAAGGUCAAGACGAAAAUUGUUAAAAUCAUGGAGAAGGAAUAG